GGAGAACUGAGGGGAGCGAGGCUGAGGGGAGCUGCAGCAGGUGGCUGUGGUGACUGGGGGCCAUGGUGUUCAUUGUCACCCUGGGCUGGAGUGCCCGUGAGGUGGGACGCUGUGGGGUGGCCAGCAGCGGUCUGGCAUUCCCCCAGGGUGCUGCGGCAACCCCAGGCUGUGGGGUCAUCAGUGCGGCUGCAGAUCUCCACUCUCCUCCAUCGCCUCUCCCUUUCUGUCCCACAGCUCAGAGCUGGCUGUUCAUGCGCUUGGCUCUGCGUGACCUUGUCAUGCUCUCGUGACAACACCUUUUUACCCUAAAGCCCAGAAUACACGCAUAAUGAAAGCAUUACUGAAUGUAGGUGCUGUGCACGCCAGGGCUGCUGGUGGCAAGAGAAAACUGCUGGACAAGGUGACAUACCUCUCUGAUUCACCUUGAUUCAUGGAGUGUACUAAGUGUGGCAAAGCACAGGAUUAUUUAAAAAGAAAAAGAAAAAGAAAAAGGUAAACAGUUGAGACCUCGCAAUUCAGAUGUAAAGUUCAAGUCAAGGUUGUGGUGUGGGUUGUUUUUUUCAGCUAUGCUAAUUCAGCUCUGUCAAUAUGCACACGGCCACGUGGGAAAGGGCAAUAUCCUUUAUCAAUUACUGUACUGCAUUUGCUUCUAAAGAUUUAUUGUGGGAGUGAAUUAAAGGUCUAGGGUAUACAUAACAUGCAAUUUUUUAAUUUGUCUAAUUUUGAUUCAGUUUUGUAUAUGACUCAGGUCUUGUUACCAACGUUAUUGAGAGAUACAGACAUAAUCAUCAAAGGUCACUUGUUAACCUAGUUCGGCAGCAUACUUACUCAGCUAUUCGGUCCUCAAAGGUGUGAGUAAUCUCUUGUUUACCCUUAGCCAUAUGCUUUGAAACCUAUUUACAGUAUUCACCUGUAAUGCGUCCAAUUUGACGCAUCAUAAAGGCAGCGUUCCUCACCAACUCUGCGCUUCUGAAAUGUGCUAGCCAACACGUAUCACAUUUAAUGCAGGUCUCAGUUCUGUGUACAGUGUAUGCCAACAAGAAAUGGACUAGUUAUGUAUAUAGUUAUAUUAAGUAAAACUGGAAAUGACCAAGAUGGUUACGUUUCACCACCUUUCUCUCUUUAUUGUAUUUCACCCCACGUUUGUCUGCAGACUGUAGUUCUAAGCACUAGAUUGUACUAAGUCCUGCCAGAUGCUUCAGAUGCCAGCUUUUUGCUGCUGUACUAGAGCUGAGUGGUUGCAGCUUGAAAACCAUGAUACACAUUUGUUUGUGUCUGUGGAAUUUACUGAAUGACAGAAGUAAACGGUCGGCAACUACAAAACAUUCUCAGUCUUUGGUUAGGUUUAGUAAAACGUUUGGUUUCCAGAUGGGCAACCAUAUUCUCCUGUUGGUACUGGUGUGGGGGGAAAGCAACUCCUUUUUAUUCAGGUGGAAACACGGUGUUGCACAUGAAUAGUUCAGGUAUUUGUCUUAAUUUCUUAAGAAAAUGCAGGGCACUUUCAUUACUUCCAGUUAAAGUAACUAGAUUGAAUAUUGAAAGAGAAGCAUUUUUCUGUAUUCUUUUUUCCCCUCAGUUUUAUCCAUGACAGAUCUCCAUGAUCAGUUUUUGCUGACUUACUCAGCGUGCUGAGUAGUUUUUUAAAUCAGUUACUUUUAGUAUUUUGAUGCACUUUAUAUAGAAGAGAUGAAGAAAAACGUGAAGAUGUUUCAUAAAACCAUAAAAGCUGACAAAGUGACUAACAGCUGUUAAAAUUUAUUAGACUCUCAGCUUCUAGUGCCUAUUUCAUCUGAAGAAUAGGUUGUAUAUGGAGACUAUAAACAAAAUGAAGCUCCUAACCGCACGGUUUCUCAAACUGUCUAUGGAAUGAUAUCCCUGAGGCUGUGUGGUGGGGUGAUACAGAGCAGUGUGGUGUCACUGCCUUUUCUACAUCAGUCACUAGAGCCUCUGCUGUAUAAAAGCUUAAAGCUUGGUUGCUGGGCUUCCCAUGUGUGCUUAGUUUCGGGGGUAAACAAGGAUGUUGAAAUGAUGCCAGAUUUUAAAGGCAAAUAAAACUGUUUUCCUUGGAGCGGUUGCUUUGGGCGAAUAGAACAUCAAUAUUUCUUAGGCCAUCAGGUAUUCUAAUGGAAUUUCUAACUGUGGAGUUGGAGGAUGAACCAGACAAAGCUUUACAAAAGGAACUGAAAAGCCAAUAUUCAGGGUUUUGUAACAUCUGAAUCAGUAAUAAUUGUUUAGGCCCUGCAGCAGGUAAGUUGAAAAAUGUCUGUUGACAAUGGCUAUGCCUGGUAUUUUUAGCAAUGAAAAUCUAUUUAUAAUAUGAGAAUCAAGUGUCUGGUGCAAAAUUAAUUUUGUAUUGUUUGUCCAGUUCCUGGUGGAGAAGUGUUUGUCUUAUGCAGAGUCAAAUUUGUUGGUGUGCUGGCUUUAAAUAGAUCUGUUAUACAGUGCUAGUAGCAAAGAAAAAUCUGGGUGAAGGCAAAUGACCAUUAUUACAGUGAGGUCCUGAGUUUAGGAGCCAGCCCCUGAAGAUCACAGAAUCCAGGUAACUGAGCAGCAAAUGGAUUUCUGGAGGUCUCCUUCAAGGGCAUGUUGACUCUUGUAUAAAAAAUCAUGCAAUGAUCCAAGGCUUCUACCAGUCCUCUAUCUUCUGAAAUGUUUUUUCUGUCUCUUUUCUUCCUGUAUCUUAAAUAGAAUAGAGAUACUCUAAUAGCUGCAUAUAGCAACAGUUAAAAUGAAACUGAAAUGAAGUAAGUUUCAGAUGAUGAACUAACUCUAUGUGCACACUAAAUUACAGCUACAUUUUCCAGAACAUCUGUGCAACCUCUUGUCCUUCACAGUCAUCUGUGUGAUCUUCUUGGACAUCCAAACGUGACCAUCUCAAGACUGGAGGAGAACAGUGUUGUACUGAACAGCCUUGUUCCUCCUUUUGAACCAACCUAUUCUCGUUUUGAAAAACUGUGGAGAGCUGAAGAUGCUUGGACCUGUUUUCCACAGUCUGUUCCUGCCAUACAGCUCUGUGAGUGCUAAUGGCUCUAGGAAUAAGCGGUGCAGGAUCUUGUGGCUCUCAUUCUUGUAGAGAGAGAGCUUGGAGCCAAAGUAGAAAAGUACCCUGCAUGGAGUCUUCCUAAGAGCUGAAAGCUACUUAAAGUUCUUUGCCUUGUGUUGUUCAAUGUAAGAUCAGUAGCGAAUAAAACCUUCCAGUUUGGGAACUGCAAAGAGAUGAGGCGCUGCUGACCUCUUAAGAAAAAGGUGGGACUGGAAAUGUCAGUAAGAAGGUUUAAUUGGUGGUGUUUUCAUCCAAGUAUUCCAUGCAGUCAGGAGUGAGAAUGAAGUGGUAUGAUUUUAUUGUGAUUUUUAUUGUAAUACGUCUGUAAACUGUAAACAGUCUUCCUCCCAGAACCCGUAGCGUAGCUGAGAUAAUGUAGUUGCAAAGCUGUGGGAAUGUUAGUGCUGUCAUAAAUGGUGUUUUUUAGAAAACCAGUGUCCCGAAUGGCCAGGAAUACUCAUGGGAUUUGCAGUGAGUGCUGUCAAGUGCAAAGGGCCCUUACUCUUUAGAUGCUAAGAUCCCUCUGUUCCUACAGACUUUAAAAAGCAUUGUUUACCACCAUCCUGUUUGGGUCCAGCAGCUUCCAGCAACUGUGAGUGUUUUGGUUUAUUCCAUUGUCUUGCCCCUCUUCUGGCCGGAAAAAGAUACUAUAAAGCAAGCAAAGACAUCUCAAUUUGCCUAGGUUAUCAAGAAAGAUUUGUAGGUUCUUGCUUAGACUGUGUAAGUACCUGGAGAGCCAAUAAAACUGAAGGACUCGGUAACUAAAGCGUGAAAUUGUAGUGGGAGCCAGCUGGAGAUGACUUCCUGAGAAACUCCAGUGGAAGCAGAUUGCUGUUCCUAAGCAAGGACUAAUAAUUAGUGGAAGCUACUCAUGGAACUGAUGGAUGAGGCAUCUCUUGAAGCUUCCGGUACUAUGGCAGUACGAUGGCAUUUCUAGAAGAUAUGCAAGUUAGUGGUUUAGAUAAAGGGGUACCCAGGUAAAAUUCUUGUUGUACAGGGAAUUUAAUUAGACAGUGUAAUGUGGCUUUUUGCAUUUAAUUAUUAAUCUGUGAGAAAAUGUGAGGUACGCUACGGAGUUUAGGGGUCUGGUGUUGUUCUUACUGUUCCUUCUUCACAUCCUCUUCUUCUCAUCGUUCUCUUCUUCUCUGGAGGUGAGGGGUACCUGACUUUAGCAGUGCAGGAAUUUCUUUAUAAGCUGGUCUUCAGCUUGACAUUUUCAAAUAAGCCAAGGCUGGAGGUGGUUAUUUCUGUUAGGAUUACCAGGUGAGCACAUACAGUUUCAGUAGCAGCUUCAGGGGUCUGAUUUUAACAUGGUCUUCUAAGUCUGUCAGGGAUAUAGUUUAUCAUUGGGAUAAAACAAAGAUGGUCUAAGCAAGCAGCUUAAAUACUAAUAAAUGUCUGUGUGUGCUUGGGUUUUUGAACUGAGCUCUUGGCAUCUCUGCAGUGUGAAUUGAGGUUCCUACUGUGAAUUUUGAUGCCCACUGCUAGGCUCCUAAAUGUGGCUGAAUUCCAAGCUUGCUGUCUAAAAGACAGCUGUUUUAGGAAGCUCAGGUGACUGAGGAUUUGCAUUACUAAAUACCAUCAACAGAAUAUACUUCAUCUUCUGACACCAUUCAUUCUACUGUUGGACUAUAGAAGGAAUCAGCGAUGAGCUUCAUCUAGAUGCUGAACAACAGAUAGAUAAGCUUAGUAAAACCAAAGUUUCUAAAAAUGAGACCUACUAGAUUUUACUGGUUGACAGUGACUUGUGUUUUAUGCAUACUAACUGAAAGCUGUAAUCAGAAUCAUGUUAAUUCUCACUAUCUCUUUUUACUCUUUCUUUUUAUUCUUUCUUAAAAAAAAAAAAAAAAAAGGAAAAAAGAAAUUCAGUCAUAAAGUGAAAAAAAAAAUAUUGAAAAUAAAUACUUCUGUUGCUUGCAUGCUUGCAUUCUCCAUCCUUAUAUGAGCUUUGCUGCUUAUGGUUUAUGUGGUUAUUUCUAUUUUUGCAAAGCAAGUGACCAGUGUUAUUGGGUGGUUCACGUGAGUGCCGAUGACACACAUAGUGGAGAAAGGUGCCUUUUCACUGCUGCUCUGCCCUGCUCCUUUGCUGAAGAUGAAGAUCUUUUUGGCUGGGGACUGGAGGGAGCAGCACUACAGGAGAGCAGGCCACAACUCUAGCAGUGUCCCAAGGGCACAGUGUGGGCACCUCAGUUUCAAUCACCUCUGUAGUCAGGUGAUUUGCCAGCACGAGUAACUAAGAAGGGAAUUUUUAUGAUCCCAGAAUAUUUAACCCUGAAAUUUAACCCUGGGUGAGAAAGAUUUGAAAGUCAGUGGGAGUCACUUACCAAGGCCAUGCUCAGAAGAAUUUGACCAGAUGCAGAUGAAAAUACAAGUGAAUUUCUAUAAAAUGUGAAGAAAUGCCAGUGCUUUUUUAAAAGCAAAAAAUAUUAAUUGAAAAAAAUCGGUUAUAAAAUCAAUGAACUUACUAGGAAGUUUUUCCCUAGCUUUCUUGAAAUUUACAUUUCUUUACUAUAGUGACAGAUUGUAGACUGUACUGAAAAUAAAAGACGCAGGAAAAUUUCAAGACUUCUGGACUGGAACAGUUUUCUGAAGCAGCACUUUCUAAGCUCUGAGCCAAACAUGGAGAAGAGUGCUACAACCUCAGAGGUCUGCAAGGUUACUAUUAAAAUAAAAUUCUUUGCCUCA